CCUACGGGAGGCAGCAGUGAGGAAUAUUGGUCAAUGGACGAGAGUCCGAACCAGCCAAGUCGCGUGAAGGAUGACUGCCCUAUGGGUUGUAAACCUCUUUUAUAAAGGAAUAAAACGAGGCACGCGUGCCUUUUCGCAUGUACCCUAUGAAUAAGCAUCGGCUAACUCCGUGCCAGCAGCCGCGGUAAUACGGAGGAUGCGAGCGUUAUCCGGAUUUAUUGGGUUUAAAGGGUGCGUGGGCGGGUGGUUAAGUCAGUGGUAAAAGUUGGGGGCUCAACCUGUAAAUGCCAUUGAUAAUGGGUGUCUUGAGUACAGUAGAAGUAUGCGGAAUGCGUGGUGUAGCGGUGAAAUGCUUAGAUAUCACGAAGAACCCCGAUUGCGAAGGCAGCAUAC
rnacentral:rRNA from 1 species